AUUGAACGCUGGCGGCAGGCCUAACACAUGCAAGUCGAGCGAGUGGCGGACGGGUGAGUAAUGUCUAGGAAACUGCCCGAUGGAGGGGGAUAACUACUGGAAACGGUAGCUAAUACCGCAUACUAUCAGAUGUGCCCAGAUGGGAUUAGCUAGUUGGUGGGGUAACGGCUCACCAAGGCGACGAUCCCUAGCUGGUCUGAGAGGAUGACCAGCCACACUGGAACUGAGACACGGUCCAGACGCCUACGGGAGGCAGCAGUGGGGAAUAUUGCACAAUGGGCGCAAGCCUGAUGCAGCCAUGCCGCGUGUAUGAAGAAGGCCUUCGGGUUGUAAAGUACUUUCAGCGGGGAGGCGUUACCCGCAGAAGAAGCACCGGCUAACUCCGUGCCAGCAGCCGCGGUAAUAC
rnacentral:rRNA from 1 species